GGGGGGGGACUGGAGAAGGAGAGGGGGAGGGCGAGAGGCAGUACAAAGAGAAUGGUACAGUAGAGACAUUCCUUACCAAGUCAGCUUUAAUAGCAUAGAGAGGACCACACACACACACACACACACACACAACGUAUCUGGAUGGAUAGAAGCAGCCUUCUGUACGGCCUAAUCAGGAAGCCCCAGUAGAACCUCAUCCAGGGGCUCGCCUGAGAAAUCCUCCCCAACGUUAGAGGCUUAGAGGGGGGAGAUUCAUUCCCCGUGGUCCCACACCACCCUUCAAGUUUCCAGUUUGAAUGUCAUGUGCACAAGUCCAGUGGAAUGCCCUUUCUUCCCAGCUCUAACCCCGACAACGCAGUAAUCAAUAUCACAUCCAUACAAAAAUAACAAGGUAGAACAAAAACACCCAAGAAAUAAGAAUAAUCUAUAUACAGGGUCAGUUCAGUACCAUAUUAACAAUGUGCAGGGAUACUGGAGUGAUGGAGGUAGAUAUGUAUAGUGAUGGAGGUAGAUAUGUAUAGGGGGAAGGGGCCAGGGAUACUGGAGUGAUGGAGGUAGAUAUGUAUAGGGGGAAGGGGGCAGGGAUACUGGAGUGAUGGAGGUAGAUAUGUAUAGUGAUGGAAGUAGAUAUGUAUAGGGGGAAGGAGACAGGGAUACUGGAGUGAUGGAGGUAGACAUGUAUAGGGGGAAGGAGACAGGGAUACUGGAGUGAUGGAGGUAGAUAUGUAUAGUGAUGGAGGUAGAUAUGUAUAGGGGGAAGGAGACAGGGAUACUGGAGUGAUGGAGGUAGAUAUGUAUAGGGGGAAGGGGCCAGGGAUACUGGAGUGAUGGAGGUAGAUAUGUAUAGGGGGAAGGAGACAGGGAUACUGGAGUGAUGGAGGUAGAUAUGGAUGUCUAUUUAAAACAGAUUGUUAUAUACAAGCAUUUCACUACACCCACAAUAACAUCUACUAAACACUUGUCUGUGACCAAUGAAAUUGUAUUUGAUUUAUUUAUAGGGGUAAGGGGACUAGGCAUCAGGAUAUAUGAUAAACCUAUUCCCCCUCAGGAAACUAAAAAGAUUUGGCAUGGGUCCUGAGAUCCUCAAAAGGUUCUACAGCUGCACCAUCGAGAGCAUCCUGGUUGCAUCACUGCCUCGUAUGGCAACUGCUCAGCCUCUGACCGCAAGGCAUUACAGAGGGUAGUGCGUACGGCCCAGUACAUCACCAGGGUCAAAACUCCUGCCAUCCACGACCUCUAUACCAGGCGGUGUCAGAGGAAGGCCCUAAAAAUUGUCAAAGACCCCAGGUACCCCAGUCAUAGACUGUUCUCUCUACUACCGCAUGGCAAGCGGUAUCGGUGCGCCAAGUCUAGGACAAAAAAGCUUCUCAACCAUUUUUAACCCCAAGACUCCUGAACAGGUAAUCAAAUGGACUAUUUGCAUUGUGUGUUAACAAAAAAAGGCUGUGAAAAAAAUGGCAUUGUUGUUUAUCUACUUGAUCGUACACAACAUUUAAUUAAAAUUGUUUCAAAGAAACAAAAACGCCAUGAAGAAAUCGGUAUUUUAUUCAAAAGCAUGUCACAAUUAUUGAAACCCCUGAAUU
ensembl:lncRNA